CUUGCUGUGUGCUUUUAUUUUUUAAAUAAAGUAAGGCCCUUCUGGUAGAGUGAAGGUUAGGACAGGAAGUUAAGCACAGAAACAGGAAGUGGUUAGGGAUCCCAAACUGAGGUCAAACAGCUCAAAGGAACGGUAACAAAGGUCAAUGUGUGAUGUCAUAAGGUCAAUGUGUGAUGUCAUAAGGUGGAUAUGACUUUGGACUCGUCAGCUGAGCUGUCUGAGAGUUUGUUAAAGUGAAAUGAGACAUUCAAAGAUGCAGCAGUGUUCUUCUUUUACAUCACUGAGACUACAGGGAGACACUGAGGACGAGUAUCUACGGAGAGCCUGAAGGGACAAAAUAACAUUAAUCUGAA